UAGGUUUCAUCGAAUCUUU
rnacentral:sRNA from 1 species